rnacentral:rRNA from 1 species
UACGUAGGGGACUAGCGUUGUCCGGAAUCAUUGGGCGUAAAGCGCGUGUAGGCGGUUUGGUAAGUCCGCUGUGAAAGUCAAGGGCUCAACCCUUGAAUGCCGGUUGAUACUGUCGGGCUAGAGUCCGGAAGAGGCGAGUGGAAUUCCCGGUGUAGCGGUGAAAUGCGCAGAUAUCGGGAGGAACACCAAUGGCGAAGGCAGCUCGCUGGGACGGUACUGACGCUGAGACGCGAAAGCGUGGGGAGCAAACAGG